UACGGAGGAGGCAAGCGUUAUCCGGAAUUAUUGGGCGUAAAGCGUCCGUAGGUGGCUAGUCAAGUCUGCGGUCAAAGCCUGGGGCUUAACCCUGGAAAGGCCGUGGAAACUGACGAGCUAGAGUGCAGUAGGGGUAGAGGGAAUUCCCGGUGUAGCGGUGAAAUGCGUAGAGCUCGGGAAGAACAUCGGUGGCGAAAGCGCUCUGCUGGACUGCAACUGACACUCAGGGACGAAAGCUAGGGGAGCGAAUGGG
rnacentral:rRNA from 1 species